rnacentral:rRNA from 1 species
GACGAGGGGUCCUAGCGUUGUUCGGAAUCAUUGGGCGUAAAGCGUGUGUAGGUGGCCAUGUAAGUCAGGUGUGAAAGCCCCGGGCUCAACCCGGGAAGUGCAUCUGAUACUGCGUGGCUUGAGUACCAAAGAGGAUAGUGGAAUUCCAGGUGUAGUGGUGAAAUACGUAGAUAUCUGGAGGAACACCGGUGGCGAAGGCGGCUAUCUGGUUGAGUACUGACACUGAGACACGAAAGCGUGGGGAUCAAAC